rnacentral:rRNA from 1 species
AUUGAACGCUGGCGGCAGGCCUAACACAUGCAAGUCGAGCGGAGCGGCGGACGGGCGAGUAAUGCCUAGGAAUCUGCCUGGUAGUGGGGGAUAACGUCCGGAAACGGGCGCUAAUACAGCAUACUAUCAGAUGAGCCUAGGUCUGAGGAGCUAGUUGGUGGGGUAAGGUACCACCAAGGCGACGAUCCGUACCUGGUCUGAGAGGAUGAUAAGUCACACGGGAAAUGAGACACGGUCCAGACUCGUACGUGAGGCAGCGGUGGGGAAUAUUGGACAAUGGGCGAAAGCGUGAUCCAGCCAUGCCGCGUGUGUGAGGAAGGUCUUCGGAUUGUAAAGCACGUUAAGUUGUGAGGCGUUACCAACAGAAUAAGCACCGGCUAACUUCGUGCCAGCAGCCGCGGUAAUAC